GCCGAAGUGGCGAAAUCGGUAGACGCAGUUGAUUCAAAAUCAACCGUAGAAAUACGUGCCGGUUCGAGUCCGGCCUUCGGCACCAAAAGUAU
rnacentral:tRNA from 1 species